GCCCGAGUGGCGGAACGGUAGACGCUCCAGACUUAAAAUCUGUUGUCCGCAAGGACGUGCGGGUUCGAAUCCCGCCUCGGGCACCA
rnacentral:tRNA from 1 species